rnacentral:rRNA from 1 species
AUUGAACGCUGGCGGUAUGCUUAACACAUGCAAGUCGAACGGUAGCAGGCUUUCGGGCGCUGACGAGUGGCGGACGGGUGAGUAACGCGUAGGAAUCUGCCUCAUAGUGGGGGACAACGUGGGGAAACUCACGCUAAUACCGCAUACGCCCUACGGGGGAAAGCGGGGGCUCUUCGGACCUCGCGCUAUGAGAUGAGCCUGCGUUAGAUUAGCUAGUUGGUGGGGUAAAGGCCUACCAAGGCGACGAUCUAUAGCUGGUCUGAGAGGACGAUCAGCCACACUGGGACUGAGACACGGCCCAGACUCCUACGGGAGGCAG